rnacentral:piRNA from 1 species
UGAAGUACACAGGAAGCCAGGC